GAUGAACGCUAGCUGGAGGCUUAAUACAUGCAAGUCGAGCGGGAUUGGUCAGCAAUGGCCAUGAGAGCGGCGCACGGGUGAGUAACGCGUACACGACCUACCUUUGACUGGGGGAUAGCCCUGGGAAACUGGGAUUAAUACCGCAUAUAAUUCUGAUUAAUAAAGGAUUGGAAUGAAAGUUCAGGCGGUCAGAGAUGGGUGUGCGUCUGAUUAGACUAGGUGGUGAGGUAACGGCUCACCAAGGCGAUGAUCAGGAGGGGGCGUGAGAGCGUGGUGCACCACACGGGUACUGAGACACGGAACCGACUCCUACGGGAGGCAGCAGUAAGGAAUAUUGGUCAAUGGGCGCAAGCCUGAACCAGCCAUCCAGCGUGCAGGAAGAAGGCCCUAUGGGUUGUAAACUGCUUUUGUCAGGGAAUAAACCUGUGGAUUCACUCCGCAGCUGAAGGUACCUGAAGAAUAAGCACCGGCUAACUCCGUGCCAGCAGCCGCCGUAACAC
rnacentral:rRNA from 1 species